rnacentral:lncRNA from 1 species
CUGGAUGCAGCAAGCACCGCUUCAAAGUUUUGCAAUCUCCAUUACUUUUUCUUAGCCUUGUCUCCAUUACUUUCUCUUAUUCCUUUCUCGGCUUUCUCUGGCCAGUGUUUUUUCUGUUCCUCGCUCUCCUGUCCUUUUUCUUUAUUCUUUUCUUAACUUUCUCUGUCCAGUGUUUUGUCCAUUUCUCGUUUUCCUAUUGAGUUCUCUACUAAACUGCAAAUAAUUGAGUUUGGGAAGAAGCAGGUGAAUUGCGCAUCAGUACAUAGGUGUUUUGCAUAUGUUUAAUGUGAGUUAUGCUUUGUUUUAUUGGUUUGCAUAGCCAUUCAUGCAAAGCAACAAAUCAAAGUAAGGCUCUUGAUGUGUGACUCAGAAGUUUGACAGUGAAUAUAUGAGAAGGAGCUGCUGAUCGUGUUGGGUAGGGUGAGCUAGGUGAGUUGAGAUUUGUUUCUUGUUUGCAUGUAUGGAUGAAGGACGACAAUUAUUCCUGAUAGUUGUUCUUGCUGUAAUUGCACCUUCUGUUGCUGCCAUUUCUUUGCUUUAAUGCAUUUGCUGCUUGGGUUUGGUAUAGCAAUUGUGGUUAUUGCUCAGUGUAACCUUGCGAUAUGGCUAUUUGUUCUUGUUUGGCUAAGAUUUAGCGACAAUUGCUCUUUUUCUUGUUAAUGGAGUGCAUCAAUAUAACCUAAUAGUUAUUAUUCAGUUAAAUGUUAGGUUUUGCCUUUCUUUUCCUUUCCUUUCCUUUCUCUGUGGUGUAGAUUAAUGCUCUGAGAAAAUUGCUACCUAACAAACCAGAAAUACAUCACAUAUGCCUACUCCUAAAGACAAUAAUCCUCAUAUAUAAUGGCAACAAAUUGGCCACGUAUAA